rfam:Oryza glaberrima chromosome 8 Oglab08_0062_13, whole genome shotgun sequence.
AAUAUAUGACGCCGUUGACUUUUUCUCACAUGUUUGACCAUUCGUCUUAUUCAAAAAUUUUAUGUAAUUAUAAUUUAUUUUGUUAUGAGUUGUUUUAUCACUUAUAAUACUUUAAGUGUGAUUUAUAUCUUAUACAUUUGCAUAAAAUUUUUGAAUAAGACGAAUGGUCAAAUAUGUGAGAAAAAAUCAACGGCGUCAUCUAUU